rnacentral:rRNA from 1 species
CAAGGCGACGACGGGUAGCCGGCCUGAGAGGGCGACCGGCCACACUGGGACUGAGACACGGCCCAGACUCCUACGGGAGGCAGCAGUGGGGAAUAUUGCGCAAUGGGCGGAAGCCUGACGCAGCGACGCCGCGUGCGGGAUGAAGGCCUUCGGGUUGUAAACCGCUUUCACCAGGGACGAAGCGAGAGUGACGGUACCUGGGGAAGAAGCGCCGGCUAACUACGUGCCAGCAGCCGCGGUAAUACGUAGGGCGCGAGCGUUGUCCGGAAUUAUUGGGCGUAAAGAGCUCGUAGGCGGCCUGUCGCGUCCGCUGUGAAAUCCCGGGGCUCAACCCCGGGCGUGCAGUGGAUACGGGCUGGCUGGAGGCAGGCAGGGGAGAACGGAAUUCCCGGUGUAGCGGUGAAAUGCGCAGAUAUCGGGAGGAACACCGGUGGCGAAGGCGGUUCUCUGGGCCUGUUCUGACGCUGAGGAGCGAAAGCGUGGGGAGCGAACAGGAUUAGAUACCCUGGUAGUCCACGCCGUAAACGUUGGGCGCUAGGUGUGGGUCCCUUCCACGGGGUCUGUGCCGCAGCUAACGCAUUAAGCGCCCCGCCUGGGGAGUACGGCCGCAAGGCUAAAACUCAAAGGAAUGACG